AUCUCGGUAUCAUCUGCAGAAUAUGGUACUAAUGCAAAGGAGUCUGUAACAGACUAUACUACACCCUCUUCUUCUCUGCCUAACACUGUGGCUACUAAUAACACAAAAGAUGGAGGAUACUUUGGUUAAUAAUGUGCCCCUGCCUAACACCCUUCCUUCCCUAAGAGAGAGACUAUACAACAGAGCUCCAGCCUAACUUCAGGUCCUCCCACUACUUUCAGCCUCACCUUCAAGAUGGAGUCUGCACGCAAGGAUAGGAGAAUUCUCCAAAUGUAAGGGAAAAGGGGGUCUCCAGUAACUUCCACAGCACUCAAUUGCAACUGGAGUCAGCAGUAGUUGCCAGUGCACCAAGCACUGCUAAUUAUAAUUCGUUCUCAAGUGCAUCGAUGCCCCAGAUUCCUGUUGCUUCAGUCACUCCUACAACAUCACUAUCAGGAGCUGGUACGUACACUACCUCUUCUUGAGCACAAAAUCUACAACCACAUCGGACCCUCCAAAUAUUUGUAAAGUGAAACCUCAGCAGUUGCAGACAAGCAGCCUGCCUUCUGCAAGUCAUUUUUCACAAGUUAAGCUGUAUGCCUUCCCUUAUUGCCCAGCAACAACAGAGUCUGCAAGUUUAUGUGUCUCAGUCUGCAGCAGCUCAAAUCCCAGCCUUCUAUAUGGACACAAGUCAUUUAUUUAAUACCCAGCAUGCACGAUUGGCUCCACCAUCCUUGGCUCAACAACAGGGUUUCCAACCAGGUCUCUCUCAGCCAACUUCAGUUCAGCAGAUUCCAAUCCCUAUUUAUGCACCACUGCAAGGGCAGCAUCAAGCCCAACUGAGUUUGGGGGCUGGACCUGCUGUUUCCCAGGCUCAGGAAUUGUUCAGCUCUUCACUUCAACCAUAUAGAUCUCAGCCAGCUUUUAUGCAAAGCAGUUUAUCCCAGCCAUCUGUGGUCCUUUCUGGGACUGCUAUUCACAACUUUCCAACUGUCCAACACCAAGAACUUGCCAAGGCACAAUCUGGUCUUGCCUUUCAGCAAACAUCAAAUACCCAGCCUAUUCCCAUAUUGUAUGAACAUCAACUGGGGCAGGCAUCAGGACUAGGAGGUUUCCCAGCUGAUUGACACACAUCUUCUCCAGGCUAGAGCAAAUCUUACCCAGGCUUCAAAUCUUUAUUCUGGACAAGUACAACAGCCUGGUCAGACAAAUUUUUAUAACACUGCCCAGUCACCAAGUGCUCUCCAGCAGGUUACAGUACCUUUACCAGGAUCCCAGCUUUCCUUGCCUAAUUUUGGAUCUACAGGGCAACCUCUAAUUGCUUUGCCUCAGACUCUUCAGUCCCCGUUACAGCAUACCACUCCCCAAGCACAGGCUCAGAGUCUGAGUCGUCCUGCACAAGUAAGCCAGCCUUUCAGAGGAUUAAUUCCUGCUGGAACACAGCAUAGCAUGAUUGCAACCACAGGAAAAUGUCUGAAAUGGAACUAAAAGCCUUUGGACAGUGGCAUUGAUAUAAAACCAGGCACACCUCCAAUCGCUGGUAGAAGCACCACACCAACAUCUAGUCCCUUCCGGGCUACUUCUACAAGUCCGAACAGCCAGUCCAGCAAAAUGAACAGUAUUGUCUAACAGAAGCAGUUCCAGUCAGCCCCUGCCACUGUGAGAAUGACACAACCGUUUCCUACACAGUUUGCACCCCAGAAGAGAGCUGUGGGAAGAGGACUCAGCCACCAAGACAUUUGGUCCUAGGUGUUGGCAAAGCAGAGAGCAGAGGUUCUUCAGUCCACGCAACGGUUCUUCUCUGAACAGCAUCAGAGCAAACAGAUAGGAGGCAAAGCCCAGAAAGUGGACAGUGAUUCAAGUAAACCUCCUGAAACACUGACCGACCCUCCUGGUGUCUGUCAGGAAAAAGUAGAAGAAAAGCCACCCCCUGCACCCUCCAUAGCCACCAAACCUGUUAGAACUGGACCAAUCAAACCUCAGGCAAUCAAAACCGAAGAAACAAAAUCUUAAAGGCUAUGGUUUAUUGCAGGGGAUUGGGGGUGGGGGGAGGGAAAACAUGGAGAAUUAAGUCAGAUAAUGCCAGCAGCCAAAGGGGCAAAAUGGUCCGUGACAUUAUCCUGUUCAGAGCUUGGAGAUAUACAAGGGACAUAGGAGCAAUUUACACUGACACAUAGCUGCUGUACCAGUAAAAAUGAGGCUUUGCAAGCUUGUACCUACUAUAUAACAUGCACUCGGUUGAUGGCCACGCAUCUUCAGUCAGAAUUUAUAUAUAAAUAUAUGCACCCAUUUUUUUGAGUGCAUAUAAUUUAGACCUAAAAAUCCUUAUGAUUAGAUGAAACACCAAAAAUAUAAGAAAAAUAACACGGCAGAGGAAUAGCUCAGCCUGAACAGUGUGAUGGUCCCAGCUAAUACAUCAGAUGCGGUUUUUUUGCUCCCUUAUGUUCCUUGGAUAUGGUUAUGGCAUUUGUAGGCUUGGAGGUGAAGAACUGAAGAUAACUGGUGCUGGAUAGAGGAGCCUUAUUUUUAUUAUGGCAGCUUGCUAUUUUUAUAACAUGGUGAUUGAGUUGAACACAAUCAAAGUACAGUAGUAACUGAUCUCCCCUUCUUCCUGGAUGAAUGAGCAGAUGAGUAAAUAUUGAUGUCAGCAUCCUUGAACCAUAUCAUAGUGAGCAGUGUUUGGCUACUGCUUCUGUUUGAAAUGAUGCUGUGUUUGGUUGUGGUCCGAAGCUUUGAAGCGCUACUUAGCAUCUCCUUUCUUCCAUGGAGCUCUAACCAUUCAAACAUGACAGAUUUGGUAAAAUGCUAGUUAGGUUGAGUCUUCCUUGCCCCACUCAGUCAUCUUUGUAUGAAUCCCAUGGUUCUGGGGUUUUUUUUUUUUUUUUUCUUUUUC